rnacentral:rRNA from 1 species
AGUGAACGCUGGCGGUAGGCCUAACACAUGCAAGUCGAACGGCAGCACAGUAAGAGCUUGCUCUUACGGGUGGCGAGUGGCGGACGGGUGAGGAAUACAUCGGAAUCUACUUUUUCGUGGGGGAUAACGUAGGGAAACUUACGCUAAUACCGCAUACGACCUACGGGUGAAAGCAGGGGAUCUUCGGACCUUGCGCGAUUGAAUGAGCCGAUGUGGGAUUAGCUAGUUGGCGGGGUAAAGGCCCACCAAGGCGACGAUCCGUAGCUGGUCUGAGAGGAUGAUCAGCCACACUGGAACUGAGACACGGUCCAGACUCCUACGAGAGGCAGCAGUGGGGAAUAUUGGACAAUGGGCGCAAGCCUGAUCCAGCCAUACCGCGUGGGUGAAGAAGGCCUUCGGGUUGUAAAGCCCUUUUGUUGGGAAAGAAAAGCAGCAGGUUAAUACCCCGCUGUUCUGACGGUACCCAAAGAAUAAGCACCGGCUAACUUCGUG